rnacentral:rRNA from 1 species
UACCACCCGCCAUCUUGAAAAUGUCAGAUUUUGUUGGAUUUCGGAAGCUAAGCAGGAUUGGGCCUGGUCAAUACUGGACUGGGAGACCACUGGGAUUACCAGGUGCCAUGUGGGAC